rnacentral:rRNA from 1 species
UACAGAGGUCCCGAGCGUUGUUCGGAUUUACUGGGCGUAAAGCGUGCGCAGGCGGUCAUGCAAGACAGAUGUGAAAUCCCCGGGCUCAACCUGGGAAUUGCAUUUGUGACUGCAUGGCUGGAGUGCGGCAGAGGGGGAUGGAAUUCCGCGUGUAGCAGUGAAAUGCGUAGAGAUGCGGAAGAACACCGGUGGCGAAGGCGGCCUGCUGGGCAGUUGCUGACACUGAGGCGCGACAGCGUGGGGAGCAAACAGG